rnacentral:rRNA from 1 species
UGAAUUGCAGAAUCCCGUGAACCAUCGAGUCUUUGAACGCAAGUUGCGCCUGAAGCCAUUAGGCUGAGGGCACGUCUGCCUGGGCGUCACGCAUCGCGUCACCCCUCCCCCAAUUCUGGUGGAAGGGGUG